rnacentral:rRNA from 1 species
AAAUUGAAGAGUUUGAUCAUGGCUCAGAUUGAACGCUGGCGGCAGGCCUAACACAUGCAAGUCGAGCGGAAACGAGUUAUCUGAACCUUCGGGGAACGAUAACGGCGUCGAGCGGCGGACGGGUGAGUAAUGCCUAGGAAAUUGCCCUGAUGUGGGGGAUAACCAUUGGAAACGAUGGCUAAUACCGCAUGAUGCCUACGGGCCAAAGAGGGGGACCUUCGGGCCUCUCGCGUCAGGAUAUGCCUAGGUGGGAUUAGCUAGUUGGUGAGGUAAGGGCUCACCAAGGCGACGAUCCCUAGCUGGUCUGAGAGGAUGAUCAGCCACACUGGAACUGAGACACGGUCCAGACUCCUACGGGAGGCAGCAGUGGGGAAUAUUGCACAAUGGGCGCAAGCCUGAUGCAGCCAUGCCGCGUGUGUGAAGAAGGCCUUCGGGUUGUAAAGCACUUUCAGUCGUGAGGAAGGCGGCGUCGUUAAUAGCGGCGUUGUUUGACGUUAGCGACAGAAGAAGCACCGGCUAACUCCGUGCCAGCAGCCGCGGUAAUACGGAGGGUGCGAGCGUUAAUCGGAAUUACUGGGCGUAAAGCGCAUGCAGGUGGUUUGUUAAGUCAGAUGUGAAAGCCCGGGGCUCAACCUCGGAAUUGCAUUUGAAACUGGCAGACUAGAGUACUGUAGAGGGGGGUAGAAUUUCAGGUGUAGCGGUGAAAUGCGUAGAGAUCUGAAGGAAUACCGGUGGCGAAGGCGGCCCCCUGGACAGAUACUGACACU